GGAAAAGUGCCCUUGAAAAUUGCUUACUCCUACUAAAAUAUACUGGAUUUGUACUCCAAGGGACAAAGCAGAAGUACAAUGAAUAACUGCAAGCAGGAAAAAACAAUUUUCUGUUGCUGAAGCAGAAGCUGGAAGAUGAUCAGAGAAGAAAGCAGAGACACUGAGAUCUGUGAGGAUACAAGCAAGUAAAGAGAAGCAGAAGAGGCUAGAUUAUAAAACAAAUUGUGGUUCAAACCAGGCAGAGGAAAGCUUCUAUCAAGAGAGUUUUAACCUUCCACACGCUUUCAUUUAUAAUUAUUAUUUAUGAUGAUUACUACCAUUAAUUUGUUUAGUGAGCUGAGUGUACAUGUUAUCCUGGCAAGUGUCAAUAAAAUAAACAAUCUCUUCCCCCUCCAAAUCUAAUAUUCUAAAAGUGGCAGGAUACUAACUAGAUCUUGCACAACCUGAUAAAAUCAUUACAGCCUGAAAAUGGUGUAGUACAGAGGAGUCUUUUAAGAAGAUCUCUGAAGGAAGAAACUGAAGGAUGCUGACAUACAUUAAUAGGAAAGCUGCUGCAGGCAUAUGCACAGGCUGAAGAUGUGCAAUCUGGAGUGUGCAGGGGACAUGAGGCAGGGUUGAGGGCAGGCA